UACGAAGGGGGCUAGCGUUGUUCGGAUUUACUGGGCGUAAAGCGCACGUAGGCGGGUUGUUAAGUCAGGGGUGAAAUCCUGGAGCUCAACUCCAGAACUGCCUUCGAUACUGGCGAUCUCGAGUUCGGGAGAGGUGAGUGGAACUGCGAGUGUAGAGGUGAAAUUCGUAGAUAUUCGCAAGAACACCAGUGGCGAAGGCGGCUCACUGGCCCGAUACUGACGCUGAGGUGCGAAAGCGUGGGGAGCAAACAGG
rnacentral:rRNA from 1 species